rnacentral:lncRNA from 1 species
AUGUGGGGAGGAGAACUGCUUGUCAGGCCUGGUCUCCAGGAGCAGAGCAGACUGCUGGUCUCACGUAGGGCUCUUGAGAAGUGUGGAGUUCAUGGAUGGGUGGCCUCUCAGAAGCGCGAGUGGAUUGACAUCGUCUGUGGAAGUGUGGUUGCUCAGGUGAGACAUGCCUAUUCUAGGCGCUCCGGUACAGUUUUACCAGAGCGAGUCCAUUCUUAUUUAUUGGCUGAUUUUCAAAAGCAAGAGCGAACACUGGUUGGUUUGCAGAAGAAUGUUCAGUUCAGCUGGUUGUCACGGAUGGAUCGAAGAGAUUUAAAACCAGCUCUGGGGGCUCCUUGUUUCCACGGCUACAGAACAGUCCAUCUUUCCCUAAGUUGGUAGGACCCUUCUUUUUCUCACAGCAACUGCUUCCACUUCUGUAACCUCUUCCGUACUUUUCCUUGGGAUGUGAUCAACGAGAGGGAAAGGGCAGGAAUCCCUGUGCUUCUUAACUCUUAUCUAUUCAGUAAACUGUCAUGGUACACGGAGCGGGAGGAUAACACAGGCCCACCCCGAGUCUGGAGGUGGAGCCCGGCCGCACUGCUGAGUCUGGUUCAGUACCUGAACAGGUCACUCGCUCUGUCUAGAAGAGGGAGGGAGGUUCCCAGAGGAGGAAGCCUUGUAUGGACCUUGACCCUGACUCAAUCAUGGCCCUUAUGCUAUCAGUGUAAAUAAGCAGGAAAAAUCAGGAGAAAAGGCCUUCAAGAGAAGCAAGUUAACAGUGUAUCAUGACUAAGUUUCUGUCAAUUCAUCUAGAUAAGAAAUUAAUAUUUAUUAGCUACUUGCAUUGUGUUAGGCUUUGCUAAGUGCUCUAAAUUGGUUUUACUAAAACCUCACAAAAACCUUAUGAUUACAUACCGUUGUUGACCUCAUUUGCCAAUGAGGAAAUUUAGUCUCAAAGGGCUAAAUAAUUUGCUCAAGGUUAUAUGGUAGGUAGCAGAGACUGGAUUCAAAUACAGACUGUCUGACUUAUAGCUCCCUAGGCCUUUUGAUAAAUUACAAGUUGAACAUAGGGAAGAAAAGUGUAGCCGACAAAGAGGGC